AUUUGUUGCGAAAAAAAAGAAGCAAAUAUAUAAAAUUCUUGAAAACUAAAACAAACAAUUACCCACGAAAACUAGAACACAUUUCAUUUUACCGCUAUCUCCACAUUUUUUUUUUCAUUUUACCGCCAUGUUCUAAAAUCUCUCCACAAAUUCGGCAGUUACUUCUAGCCAAUUCCCACAAUCUUAAACUCGAAUUCCUCUCCUGCAAAUAAUUAAGAUAAAGAAAAACGAAAAAGAAGCCCUAAGCCCCCUCCUCCUCAUUUUUUCUCAUCGGCGGUGGCUUAAUUCAAAUUACAUCUUUUUCUUCUUCAUCUAAAUCCUCUGUCCCUGCAACUGGUUUCUUCUCAAUUUCUGCGCUCUUCCGCCGCCGCCUCCAGAUUUGUGCUGCUUUUGAGAGUAGAAUUAGUUCGAUUUUCUCUCAAACUCGUCGAUUCAGUAACGAGACACUGCUUGCUAAGUUCGCCAGAGGUGAUCGAGUACUGGUGGAUUUUGGAACUAGCCUACAAUAUCAAUUGGAGCAGCAAUUGGGGGAAGACGACACGCUGAGCACUGGUUUGGAACUUCUUCUACUUUGCAUUCUCACACAUUAAUUUCAACUAGCAAACUUGCCCAAUGGACGCAUCAAAAUGGUUUGAGGGAUUUUUAAGAAGCAUGGUAUCAAGUCUUUAUUCAACUCAUCCCCUCCUCUGAAGUCUUUAAUUUAUUCAUCCCCUAUAUGCAAGAAUUUUGGCUCUAAUGCAUCAUAUUUCCUAAAAGUUGGUGGCCACUUUGUCAUAUCUAACAAGGAGUAAUUGAAAAAGUUGUCAUGAUGAUUAACCAAUGUUCAACUAUUCCAAUGUACAAUGGAAUUGCUUUUGAUUAGGAGCUUGAAGAAAAAUUAUGAGUCCUAGAUUAAUUGCGAGUUGUAGAUUAAGUGCUUAGUAAUUUAAACAUUUAAAAUUAUAUGUAGUUAGUCAUUUCAAACUUGUACUUUGAUUUUGUUAAAUAUUUUUUAUGUAAAUGUUUUGUAUGAUAUUCUUAUUAUAUUUAAUGUGUUGAGUAUUUGAUUUUU